GUUGUUGUAAAUUUGGCAAAGAAAAGCAAUAAAUAGAGGGUGUGUCUACUAUUCCUAAGACACACUCUUUUGGUAUAUUAAUAAUAAUAAUGACUACUUGCAAAAAGUAAGAAUUUAUUUUGCUCAAAAUAAUGAUAUUGACUCUAAGCCUUGGUAUGUUGAAGAGAGGACAUAACAAAAAUCCUUGAAGUUGGUACCAAGUUCAACCACACCUUACUAGUCUACUUAAACAUUCAGUAUGAUAGUUAGGUAGAAAAGGCUUGUAAAAUUAUGAUAAUCAAGAUUGUCAAAGAAGUCAGAAGGAAGUGCAGAUUUGGACUGAGCUUGAGGUGGUCUACUUUGGCUUUUAUAUGACUCAGCAGGACGCUCGGGUUUCGCUUUAUUAAGUUCCGUAGAAUCCACGGCCUUCACAUUGUUAGGUCGACUAGCUGCAGCAGCAUUUGCUUUUACGUUUUUAAUUGCCUGUUAGAAUGAAAACAGCACCAAAAAGUAAAUGUGUGCUUUAAACACAACAAUACAUAUUAACAUCGCAUAUGUGUUACUCUUCUCAUCAUGAAGCAGCAAGCUGAAGGUACAGGAACAUCAAAAUAUGUAUCGCACAUGUUAAACAAAGGAGACAAAUAAUACAUCCAACACGAUCAACUACUACACUGAUAUACUUCAUCUUUAUGUUCAGUGUAAAUAAUAAUGGAAUGAAAUAAAGCAAGCAUCUAUAGGAUACACAAACACACACAGAUAUAUACAUAUAUACACACAGAUAUACAUACAUUUAUAGCAUACAUAUAUAAUUGUGUGGGCAUCACCACCACCAUUUGUUUAUUUAGUGCAUACACACACAGACAUUCCACUGCCACGUGCACAUUAAAGCAUAUUACCUCACGAUGCUUUGCAGAUAUUUGGUGUGCACUCCAAGCAGACUCGGAUUUUAGAACAAUAUCGCAAACUUUACAGACGGGCUGGUCAGAUUCAUUGUACCUGGAAGCAGAAUAGAGAAUACAGCAAAAAGUUAUUGGAUGUAUAACAGCAUUUUUCAGAUUUAAUUAGUGCAUAGUUAACCAGAACUGUAAAUGAUCUAACAAUGCAAGCAGAGCUAAAAGUCAUACAAAACUCGCACUGUCUUGAACAUAAGAGAUACAGUCAUCUGAUUAUUAACUAAGAACCUUGUAUCGAAGUGCAGAUAUAUGUGAAAAUUAAUAUUAUGUAAUGAGAAGUGAGAAGUCUAAGCCAAAAUGAAUCCACAAGCCUGUGAAAGCUGAAUCGAACACUAUACAGGGAGAAGACUACUUUCCUCUACUGCUUUAAUUUUACAAUGAGUAGGUUUGCCUAACUAACAGUCUUAACAAUACAUCUGAAAAUAUAGCAGAAGCAGCUUUUUUAUUAACAAAUUCACUGGUAAAUUCACAAAUAAAAAAAAAAUCGACUUCAGAGCUCCUUGUGUCCACAUAGGUAUGCCAAUUAGGUCAAAACACUUCCAAGAUGGCCAUGACAAAGUUACAAACCUGAAACUCUAAUAAACUGAAAGUGAUACCCUGACUCAUCAAUAUCAUGAUCCUCCACAACAUGCAUAACAACAAACUAACAUUGUAAGAGUGCUCAAAAAAGGUUAAGGAGGUGUAACAAAUGUCGCAUCUAAACCGAAGCAAGAUGUUAACAGACAUCAAACUUUUUUCUUGUUAAGCAUGUUAAUGAUGGCCAUACAUAGUUAUCAAAUGCGCUAGGCGCACUCUAGGCGCAUAGGCCUCGCCUGUCGCCUAGGCGAGAAGCGCAAAAAAAGCGCGGGCCUGAGAAAAAUAAAGCGCAAGCAAAUAAAAACAUAAAAAAAUAAUUUAUGUAUUGAAAAAAACACUUUCUUAAAAUUCCUAAAGUAUUCAAAUACCAUAAUCCUUAUACUAAAACCAAAAUCAUUAUGAAUCACAAAAAUAUCCCAAAACCAAAUUGUUCAAACUUGAAAACAAAUAAAGUUCAAAAAGUAAAUUAAAUCAUAAGUCAUAAAUAAUUUAUAUGAAGAAAUGAGAAUGAUUGAAUAUACUGCAUAAUCCUCAUAAGGUCAAAAUAUACCUGUAGUAUUUGUAUGUUUUUCCAGCAAAAAAAAGGAAGAAGAUUAUGAAAGUUGUUUUAUCAGAUAAGGUUCUUAUUUGAAUAAAAAGAUAUGAUAUCUCUAACUUUUUUAAAUUUCAAAUAUAUUUUUUUAAAGAUGUAUAAGAUUUGAUUUGAUUGAGAUAUGAUUUCCAAAAAAUAGAUAAAUACGUAUAAAUAAUUAUAUAUCAUCUGGUAUAUGUAUAAGAGAUAGGAUUUCAAAAAAAAAUUCACGUGGCUUUUUUUACCUAGGAGGGAAAAGCGCAUCCAGGUCGACUCGCCCAGAAAUAUCGCCUAGGCGGGAAAAGCGAUCGCUUUUGAUAACUAUGUGGCCAUAGUAGUCAAAGGCACACAAAACGCUCGCCUAGGCGCCCAGGCGCAUCCCAGUGCAUCCAUACCACCUUGCGUCCAUCAAGGCGCUCCGGCCAGAUUCUAUAAAUUCCAGCCAAAUUCCCGUCUCAACAGGCCUAACCAGCUAAAACUUGUCUCAAAACAUCCAAAAAGGCCUUGGAACCAGCCUAAAACAUGUCUAAACCCCCUAAAAAUGGUAUGUUUAUACUAUGCGCCUUGCUUAAAAAAGCACUCGCUUUUCAAGCGCCUUGAGUGCGCCUAGCACCUUCAACUACCUAGAUAACUGCUAAUAGUUAACCUAUCAAAUUCAUGAAAAACAAUGAUUAACCUGCUUAUACCAUGCCCUAUUUAUAGUUUUCUUAAAAAAUAAUGAA
rnacentral:lncRNA from 1 species